GGAUUUCUGCCGAGGACGACCGGUCCGCCCUCUGGGCGAGUAUCUGGCUCGACCUGGGCAUCCUUCCAGAGAAUGUGUCUGCUCUUGACUGAGUGGUGCAGUAUCUGGAACUUUUACUUUGAGGAAAUUAGAGUGUUUCAAGCAGGCAUACGCCUUGAAUACAUUAGCAUGGAAUAAUAAGAUAGGACCUCGGUUCUAUUUUGUUGGUUUCUAGAGCUGAGGUAAUGAUUAAUAGGGAUAGUUGGGGGCAUUCGUAUUUAACUGUCAGAGGUGUAAUUCUUGGAUUUGUUAAAG
rnacentral:rRNA from 1 species